GACGUAGGGCGCAAGCGUUAUCCGGAAUUAUUGGGCGUAAAGAGCUCGUAGGCGGUUUGUCGCGUCUGCCGUGAAAGUCCGGGGCUCAACUCCGGAUCUGCGGUGGGUACGGGCAGACUAGAGUGAUGUAGGGGAGACUGGAAUUCCUGGUGUAGCGGUGAAAUGCGCAGAUAUCAGGAGGAACACCGAUGGCGAAGGCAGGUCUCUGGGCAUUAACUGACGCUGAGGAGCGAAAGCCAGGGGAGCAAACGGGAUUAGA
rnacentral:rRNA from 1 species